CGAGAUUUCCCAACAUCCCUGUCUGUUUUCCUUACCCAGAGCAUUGGGCACUACUAAGUUCUUUGUGCUGAGCUGAAGGUUUGGUUUCAUCUGCUGGUGUCCUAAUACAGGAGGGUCAGAACGGACUUGGAGAAGUGCCUGCCCAAUAACUCCUGUCAGACUCCAGCCCUGUGAUGUUAAUGUCUGCAAACUUUGUCUUCCUCGAUGUGGGGAGUCAUUUCAGUUGAAGAAAUUGUGAGUGGCAUUAACUUGCUGCCCUAAAUUUAGAAGCAUAACCUGUAAAGAAAGAAGACCAUCCCUGAGAUGUGUAAGUGAGUAAUUGCCAAAAAGUGCAAGUCCCCAUUGUGCUCAGCAACUGUUCUAAAAUGGAAACUAUGGGGAGCAGAGGAAAUACUGCACCAACUCCAUGGGAAAAC
rnacentral:lncRNA from 1 species